rnacentral:misc_RNA from 1 species
UUCUCUUGACCGCUGUCUCUCCUCAUACUCUCUCUGCUUUCUUUAAUUGAUUCAGUAAUGCGCUUUUCAUUGUCCCCAUCGUUCGUUUGCUUUACUUCUCUCUGUACCAUUUUCAACUUCCUCAAGCACUUCUCUUCUUCUCUAGAGCCCAAAUCAGCAAUAUCAGAAAUAUGCAGUUUAAGCUCCUCAUCGCUUCCUGAAAGCUUAAAAACAACCCGACCAUCAUCUAACCUCUUUGAAAUUCUACCCUUUAACCCCAAAAUACCUCUUCCACCAGCAAUAACUCUGACAACUUUACCAACAAAGAAACCAUCACUAGGUUCAUUUCUGUCUCUUUCUCUUUUCCUCUCCUUUUGCCUGUCUCUAUCCUUAACACUAGUACUUGCAGCAUUAGAAGCAGGAGGAACAAAACCCAACCCUUCUUUAUCAGUUCUCUUGUGGUAUUGCUUGACUUUGACAUCUUCCUUAGCAUUUCUUCCGAUACCUCUGCCUUCAUGCCAACCAUAGCCAGCCAGCAAAGCCGCACCAAAACCUUCCACAGGCACAUCCUUGAACUCCUCAAAUCCUCGAUCCUCCGGCAACCGCUGGAGAUCGUACUUCAACUUCUCCAGCAACAAAUUCUCAGUAGUUUCUGCUGUCUGAUGAGCUUUGGUUCCUUCGACACCAGCGUCGAAACUGCUUUGCUGUCGGAUAUUGAGGCCGUAGGACAUACUCUUAUCGUCGUCGCCGUGGCCAUCGGUGGCGACCUCGAAGCGAAGGCCUUCAGAGUCGGACUGGAGAGUGGGAAGGAGGUUGAGGUU